rnacentral:rRNA from 1 species
UGGGGAAUAUUGCGCAAUGGGGGAAACCCUGACGCAGCGACGCCGCGUGCGGGAUGAAGGCCUUCGGGUUGUAAACCGCUUUUGAUUGGGAGCAAGCUUUCGGGUGAGUGUACCUUUCGAAUAAGCGCCGGCUAACUACGUGCCAGCAGCCGCGGUAAUACGUAGGGCGCAAGCGUUAUCCGGAAUUAUUGGGCGUAAAGAGCUUGUAGGCGGUUCGUCGCGUCUGGUGUGAAAGCCCAUCGCUUAACGGUGGGUUUGCGCCGGGUACGGGCGGGCUAGAGUGCAGUAGGGGAGACUGGAAUUCCCGGUGUAACGGUGGAAUGUGUAGAUAUCGGGAAGAACACCAAUGGCGAAAGCAGGUCUCUGGGCUGUCACUGACGCUGAGAAGCGAAAGCGUGGGGAGCGAACAGG